GCAUGAUCCAGGCCAUGACCCCCAGAAGCUUCUCUCCAAAAGUCUGCGAAAGAAAACAAGAAGUGAGCGGUGGCGAGAGAGAGAGGGCCCUGAGAUACGCUGGGUACAAGGCCAGGUGUCCCAUACCCAGAAACCCAGGCGGCGGCAGCAGUGAUGAAUCAGGGGUGAAGGAGAGAGACUUAUAAAAAGAAGACUAGAAAACAAACCCCACGUGGCUUAGGGAUGGGUAAGGAUUCCAAGCUAGACCCCGAAUUCUGCACACCUGGAAUACAGCGACUUCAGGAGAGCCACAUGGAGAUGGGGACCAGGGGCUCUAUAGCUCAAAAUGUAACGGUUUCUAUCCACCCCAUCGCCUGUCCACACAGGGUCUGCCCGGGCCAGGCACACCGGUACGUGGACGAAUCGAGAGACAACUGAAAGCUAGACAGUAUGGUACAAGCCAGUAAUCCCAGCCCUCAGGAGGCUGAGGUUGGAGGGCUGACCUGAGUUUGAGGCCAGCCUUGGCAACUACAGAGACUUUGCCUUAACUACCCCUCUCAACACCCGCCCCCAAAUCCAAAAGAAAACAGAAAAGGUAAGCACGAAACAAUGUGUUGAGGGCAGAGCCAGCCAGAGAGUCAGCGAGCAUCUAUAUACGUGGGGCCCAGGCCAGGGCGUCGUGGGGAAGGGGCCCCAGCAAUGUCAACUUCAUAGCUUCGGUCCCGCUAGAAAAAGGAAUGGAAAACUCUAGUUCUUGUCCAUGGUAACCUAUUCCCAGCGGUCGCUGGUCUCUGGAGUUCUGUGGAACUCCAAGCUUAUCUGAUUCUCUUGGGUAUUUUUUGUUUUGUUUUGUUUCCUGAAUUAAAAAAAUACCAAAGGAAAAAGAUGAAAACACCACCAAGAAGACCCUGCUGAGCUAGUGAGUCUUGAGUUCAAGGCCAGCUCGUGUGACUUAACUCCCUCUCUGAGAGGGAGGGAGAAAGGAAGAGAGAGAGGUGGGGGAGGGAGAAAGGGAGUCUCUAGACCAGUGGUUCUCAACCUUCCUCAUGCCUCGACCCUUUAACAUGGUUCCUCAUGCUCUGGUGACCCCCCCCACACACACACCCACACCAUAAAAUUAUUUUCGUUGCUACUUCAUAACUGCAA